rnacentral:rRNA from 1 species
UACGUAGGGUGCGAGCGUUGUCCGGAUUUAUUGGGCGUAAAGAGCUCGUAGGCGGCUUGUCGCGUCGGAUGUGAAAGCCCGGGGCUUAACUCCGGGUCUGCAUUCGAUACGGGCAGGCUAGAGUGUGGUAGGGGAGAUCGGAAUUCCUGGUGUAGCGGUGAAAUGCGCAGAUAUCAGGAGGAACACCGGUGGCGAAGGCGGAUCUCUGGGCCAUUACUGACGCUGAGGAGCGAAAGCGUGGGGAGCGAACAG